GCCAGCGUGGCCUAGUGGUUUGAGCAUUGGGCUGUGACUCUGGAGACCAGGGUUCAAAUUCCCCACUCAGCCA